UACAGAGGUCUCAAGCGUUGUUCGGAUUCAUUGGGCGUAAAGGGUGCGUAGGCGGCGCGGUAAGUCGGGUGUGAAAUUUCGAGGCUUAACUUCGAAACUACAUUCGAUACUGCCGUGCUUGAGGACUGGAGAGGAGACUGGAAUUUACGGUGUAGCGGUGAAAUGCGUAGAUAUCGUAAGGAAGACCAGUGGCGAAGGCGGGUCUCUGGACAGUUCCUGACGCUGAGGCACGAAGGCCAGGGGAGCAAACGGG
rnacentral:rRNA from 1 species